rnacentral:rRNA from 1 species
AACGAACGCUGGCGGCAGGCUUAACACAUGCAAGUCGAACGCCCCGCAAGGGGAGUGGCAGACGGGUGAGUAACGCGUGGGAAUCUACCGUACCCUACGGAAUAACGCAUGGAAUCGUGUGCUAAUACCGUAUACGCCCUACGGGGGAAAGAUUUAUCGGGGUAUGAUGAGCCCGCGUUGGAUUAGCUAGUUGGUGGGGUAAAGGCCUACCAAGGCGACGAUCCAUAGCUGGUCUGAGAGGAUGAUCAGCCACAUUGGGACUGAGACACGGCCCAAACUCCUACGGGAGGCAGCAGUGGGGAAUAUUGGACAAUGGGCGCAAGCCUGAUCCAGCCAUGCCGCGUGAGUGAUGAAGGCCCUAGGGUUGUAAAGCUCUUUCACCGGUGAAGAUAAUGACGGUAACCGGAGAAGAAGCCCCGGCUAACUUCGUGCCAGCCGCCGCCGUAAAAC